rnacentral:rRNA from 1 species
CGGCGACCGGCGAAUGGGUGAGUAACACGUAUGCAACUUACCUCUUAGUGGUGAAUAACCCGAUGAAAGUCGGACUAAUACACCAUAUACUCCUUAGAUCCCAUGAGAAGAGGAGGAAAGAUUAAUCGCUAAGAGAUGGGCCUGCGUUCCAUUAGCUAGUUGGUAAGGUAACGGCUUACCAAGGCAACGAUGGAUAGGGGGACUGAGAGGUUGACCCCCCACAUUGACACUGAGAUACGGGUCAAACUCCUACGGGAGGCAGCAGGU